CGAAUCCUCAUCAUUGUGUUGGAAGGUACCCUAAGACACAAACAAACACACACAAAAACAACUCUUUUUUGGGUUUUUUAAAACAAUUUUUUUCAAAUUUUUAUGGGAUUUUCGGAUUUUUGAAUCAAAACACACUAAAACAGCUUAAAAACACUUAAAAACAGCAAGGAACAACAUUGUAAGUUAUGAGUGAUAAACCCUACGAAUUUGCAUCAAAACACUUUGGUUACCCCCCCACACUUAAAUCAAACAUUGUCCUCAAUGUUUCAAGCAUAGAUGCACACAAAUAACAAACAAACAAACCAAACAACAUCUAAACAACCUAAUAUGGCAGAAACGAAAUAGCAACAAAGAGAAGGGUUUAGGAACGCAAAUCUGGAAUUGGAGUGCUUUCUCGGUCUUCCUUUGUUGAAUGCAUGGGUUGCCUCCCAAGUAGCGCUUUCUUUAACGUCUUGCAGCCGGACGAUGCUCCAUUGAAGGUUUAUGGAACCCCACGGCAUGGAGGGGUUUUUCCACAACCUGUCCUACGAAAUACUUCAUUCUUUGGGUCCUUGAAUGGGAUGGGAUAAUGAUCCUU
rnacentral:lncRNA from 1 species